GUGAGUAGUAGGCCUUCGGUUCUAGGCCAAUACAGAGUGAUACAAUUUGUGAUUCAGUAAUGUUGGCUUCUUAGCAUUCAUUGCCAUGGUUAUCAACUGUACCCCAGAAACUGAACGUAAAUCACAGAAAUAGAUGUUGUGGUGUCAGCUGCAGAGCAGUUCUUCGGUGUAUGAGAUUUUACUGAGGAAUUACAAGGUGGCGGCAUGUACAAACAAAAUGUGCGAACAGACGAUACCAAAGAAGAAGAUGAAGAUGAAGAAGACGGGUUUGACAGACGUGAUCCGCUAGAACGCGCCUUCGUCGCCGUUCGGGAUUAUGCAUAUCACAGUGCGAAAAGCAGCAGAUGGCCGUUUGGUUUUAUCCCAGUGCCAGAAGGACCACUUGUAUCAUUGCCCCUUCUGCCAGCCCUCAAUUUUCAAGCCCCGAGACUAUGCCAGUGUGUUGACACACAUUGAGUCGCACAGAUUGAAGGCUGUGCUGCAUAGAGAGUUCACAAUAUUCAUAUGCCAUCUGGAGUGCAGAGAAGCAAAGCAUUUCCACUGCCCAUAUUGCCCCAAGACUUAUGUAAAUAGGAGUGAUUUUACCAAACACAUUCCACAAUGUGAGUCAGUAUGUUAUCGAGCCCCAGGUUCAACAGCGAGAGCCCCAGAUGUAACCAGUGCAUCAGCGAGAGCCCCAGAUGUGACCAGUGCAUCAGCGAGAGCCCCAGAUGUGACCAGUGCAUCGGCGAGAGCCCCAGAUGUGACCAGUGCAUCGGCGAGAGCCCCAGAUGUGACCAGUGCAUCGGCGAGAGCCCCAGAUGUGACCAGUGCAUCGGCGAGAGCCCCAGAUGUGACCAGUGC
ensembl:lncRNA